GUGGAGAAGGGGUUAUUAGGUAUCUUAGUUAUAUAAAUAGUAGAAAAUGCAGAGUGGAAUUUCGUCAUGAGCUUGCCCCCUUGCAAUUAUCUAGUUGCUACGAAGAUAACAUUAUCUCGCAUGAAUCAGUAGAGUAAAUAUUUCCAGGAGCUAUUUGCAAUAUUGGCAAGUAUGGCGAAAACAACUUUCAUGGCGGUAUCUCAUUUAGAGCUCCACAUUUUGAUAUAGGAUUUUGGUAAAUGCCUGUCGUGCUUUAGGAAUGUUACAAGUAUAACGUCCUUAUGGCGAUUGUGGUUCCGUUUUGGAAGUUAUUAAUGCGAUAGUGAUUACGCUAGAACAUCCCAUAAAUUCUACAGAAGUUCUGUAUAUGCUAAAUUUAGAUGAAUUUUUUUUGAACCCUCGUGAGAUCCAAUACCAAAUUUACACAAAAAUAUAGCUUCUUGAAUUCUGGGAAGAGUGCAAGUACCAUCACGAAAAAUAAUAAACCGAAAAAAACUCAUCAUGAGAAAGUGAACAGAAUGAAGAAAAGUGAAGGAAAACAGAGAUCUCAGGCAUCCCAGACAAACAUUUUCUAAUACAAGAUAAUUCCUUACUUGGGAACAAGUUCAUGUUGGUUGCGAUAAAAACACGCGAGUACGUCUAAAGGUGCUUGUAACGAAUAUAACACUUAAUGCACAGUACGGCGUUCAUUAUAUCGGUGAGAAGAAGGCUUGGAGCUCUUUUAAGUGAUAUUUCAUCAAAUGCCCAGAUAGUCUUAAUUAGCGCAAAAACAAGUUCAACCUUCAAGAAAGGUUACAGCAGGUGGUGUCUGAGUUCAAAAAUAACCGAACAAGCGAGGACCACCUUCUAAACUUUGACACUGACACUACUCUUCAUUUCAAAAUUCAACCCGGCACACAAAUUUUAAAUGAAUUGUACAACUACACAUUGAAUCAAUUGGGGAAACAGUUAUCACUGUCUAAACCACAAAAGAUACAUUUAUCUACUGAAAUUAUUUCUCAAAUAUUUCUUGAGGAAUCUGAAAAGCAUGUUGCCGCUCCACUGACCGGGUUGCUCGGGUCAAUUAUCGAUAUGAUCGGCAACAAUACUAGCCUUCGAACUCUCCACAAAACCAGAAAAAUAUUGCAAUUACGAGAAAACUACGCGUAAAAACAUCGCAGCACCGGUUUGGGUGCUUCAGCUCCAUCCUCACGCAAAACCCAUCUUACACGAUCGACGAUCAACAACAACUAAAUCUAACAAUCUUUUUAAUAAGUG